CCUACGGGUGGCAGCAGUGGGGGAUAUUGCACAGUGGGGGGAACCCUGAUGCAGCGACGCCGCGUGGGUGAAGGAGUAUUUCGGUAUGUAAAGCCCUAUCGGCAGGGAAGAAUUUAGACGGUACCUGACUAAGAAGCCCCGGCUAACUACGUGCCAGCAGCCGCGGUAAUACGUAGGGGGCAAGCGUUGUCCGGAUUCACUGGGUGUAAAGGGAGCGUAGACGGCCAGGCAAGCCUGGAGUGAAAGCCCGGGGCCCAACCCCGGGACUGCUCUGGGAACUGUCCGGCUGGAGUGCGGGAGGGGCAGGCGGAAUUCCUGGUGUAGCGGUGAAAUGCGUAGAUAUUAGGAGGAACACCAGUGGCGAAGGCGGCUUACUGGACUGUAACUGACGUUGAGGCUCGAAAGCGUGGGGAGCAAACAGGAUUAGAUACCCCUGUAGUC
rnacentral:rRNA from 1 species